rnacentral:rRNA from 1 species
UACGUAGGGCGCAAGCGUUGUCCGGAAUUAUUGGGCGUAAAGAGCUCGUAGGCGGUCUGUCGCGUCGGCUGUGAAAUCCCGAGGCUCAACCUCGGGUCUGCAGUCGAUACGAGCAAACUAGAGUGUUGCAGGGGAGACUGGAAUUCCUGGUGUAGCGGUGAAAUGCGCAGAUAUCAGGAGGAACACCGGUGGCGAAGGCGGGUCUCUGGGCAACAACUGACGCUGAGGAGCGAAAGCGUGGGGAGCGAACAGG